AAUUAGAGGCAGCCAAGUUUUGGAGCUCUAUAAAGGCAUUAACGAUCACCCCAGCAGCUGAGCAGUCAAACACAUAGAUUGAAGGUGUCUUCAACCAAGAGUCCAGGUCACUGAUCGGCAACGGGAUAUACUGCAUAUUACUCUUAUUGAAUAGCCAAAUUUCAUUAUUGACUGAUGGUUUUUGUACACCGUAUCCAUUGUAAUGGAAAAGAACUCGCUCUGACUUGGCGUAAUUUCGACAUGUUGUGCAAAGUUUCUUAACUUCAUCAACAAUAGGAU
rnacentral:misc_RNA from 1 species